GAUGAACGCUGGCGGCGUGCCUAAUACAUGCCAGUCGAGCGAACGGACGAGAAGCUUGCUUCUCUGAUGUUAGCGGCGGACGGGUGAGUAACACGUGGAUAACCUUCCUAUAAGACUGGGAUAACUUCGGGAAACCGGAGCUAAUACCGGAUAAUAUUUUGAACCGCAUGGUUCAAAAGUGAAAGACGGUCUUGCUGUCACUUAUAGAUGGAUCCGCGCUGCAUUAGCUAGUUGGUAAGGUAACGGCUUACCAAGGCAACGAUGCAUAGCCGACCUGAGAGGGUGAUCGGCCACACUGGAACUGAGACACGGUCCAGACUCCUACGGGAGGCAGCAGUAGGGAAUCUUCCGCAAUGGGCGAAAGCCUGACGGAGCAACGCCGCGUGAGUGAUGAAGGUCUUCGGAUCGUAAAACUCUGUUAUUAGGGAAGAACAUAUGUGUAAGUAACUGUGCACAUCUUGACGGUACCUAAUCAGAAAGCCACGGCUAACUACGUG
rnacentral:rRNA from 1 species